rnacentral:rRNA from 1 species
CCAGUAAUCAUAUGCUUGUCUUAAAGAUUAAGCCAUGCAUGUCUAAGUAUAAGCUUUUAUACUGCGAAACUGCGGACGGCUCAUUAAAUCAGUGAUAAUAUUAUGGAAGUUUCAUUUUACUUGGAUAACUGUAGUAAUUCUAGAGCUAAUACAUGUCAACGGCCUUCGGGCUUGCACUGUCGGGAACAAUUAAUCAUGCCGGGAAACCGACUAGAUGAAACACUGACAUUACUGACCUUAAAAAUCUACAGCUGAUCGCAUAACCUCGUGUUGGCGACACACGAGGAUCAAUUGGAGGACAAGUCUGGUGCCAGCACCCGCGGUAAUUCCAGCUCCAAUAGCGUAUAUUAAAGUUGUUGCAGUUAAAACGCUCGUAGUUUGAACUGCGGAUAAUGAAAUUGCACGGCCCAGGCGGGAUUCGUGCGGAAGCUUAUCCUUUUUUGACAAUGAACCGGCAAUUCUUAACUGAGUGCGCUUGGUUUGUUGGCUUGUGUACUGUGAAUCGGGGUAAUUGGUAUUUAGUUGUCAGAGGUGAAAUUCUUGGAUUGAAUAAAGACCAACUGCAGCGAAGGCGUUUUACAAGGACGCUUCCGUCAAUCAAGAACGAAAGUUGGGGGAUCGAAGACGAUCAGAUACCGUCGUAGUCUCGACUAUAAACGUUACCGACUAGGGAUUGAGAGACGUUACUUGGAUGACUUUCCCAGCACCUCCCGAGAAAUCAAAGUUUUUAGGUUCCGGGGGGAGUAUGGUCGCAAGGCUGAAACUUAAAGGAAUUGACGGAAGGGCACACCAGAAGUGGAGCCUGCGGCUUAAUUUGACUCAACACGGGAAAACUCACCGGGUCCGGACACAGUAAGGAUUGACAGAUUGAAGCUCUUUCAUAAUUUUGUGGGUGGUGGUGCAUGGCCGUUCUUAGUUGGUGGGGUGAUUUGUCUGGUUGAUUCCGAUAACGAACGAGACGCCGAUUUACUAAAUAGGGGGUUCGGUUUUCUAUAUGGGUGAAGCUCGGCAUGCGGGUGGAGUUCCGAAAGGGACUUUGCUUCUGCCGGGUGGAUCUUUGAUUAUCCGGGCAACCUUCUUAGCAAGACUACUGCUGUUUAAGCAGGGGAAGUGGCGCAAUAACAGGUCUGUGAUGCCCUUAGAUGUCUCGGGCUGCACGCGCGCUACAAUGAUUGGGGUAGCGAGUUCCACUGAGUAAAACAACUCGGUAAAUCUUAUCAAUUCCAACCGUAACCGGGAUUGAUCAUUGUAAUUAUUGUUCACUAACGAGGAAUUUCUAGUAAGCACAAGUCAUUAGCUUGUGCUGAUUACGUCCCUGCCCUUUGUACACACCGCCCGUCGCUCCUACCGAUUGAAUGCUCCGAUGAAAACGACAGAUUUGGAGACGGCUUGCUUUUUUUAGAAAAGUUGGGUAAAUCUUAGCAUUUAGAGGAAGGAGAAGUCGUA